GACGAAGGGGGCUAGCGUUGUUCGGAAUUACUGGGCGUAAAGCGAGUGUAGGCGGUUGUCCAAGUUGGAUGUGAAAGCCUUGAGCUCAACUCAAGAAAUGCAUUCAGGACUGGGUGACUAGAGGGCCGGAGAGGAUAGUGGAAUUCCCAGUGUAGUGGUGAAAUACGUAGAGAUUGGGAAGAACACCAGUGGCGAAGGCGGCUAUCUGGACGGUUACUGACGCUAAGACUCGAAAGCGUGGGGAGCAAACAGG
rnacentral:rRNA from 1 species